rnacentral:tRNA from 1 species
GCAGUGAUGGUUCCGGGGUAGAAUUCUCACCUUCCAUGUGGAAAACCCAGGGUUCGAUUCCCAGCCAAUGCA